GUAAGCAGAAAGUAUUUAUAAAAGUAGACUGUUAUGCAAAUGAGGGGAUGUACCAAUUUUUUAUGAAAAAAGGAGGGUGCACAUAUAAAAAUUUGGAAACCACUCCUCUAAUUCAUUUCAUAAUAAGUGGCAAGCCAUUAUAUGUAUGGUCUUGUCAGAUUCACUCAAUUCUUGAACAACUAGAAUUUUAUAUAGGUGAAUAUGAAGGUCUAUACUUAAGACUGUAUACAGACAUUGUUUGUAAAUUAGAAUGUUUGAGCAUGAUGCCAUGCUAAUGUCAUAUGCUCUGAAGCAUAGCAACUUGUAUCUGCUCAAAGUUCUUAGUGUUUUCAUUGUGAGCCUCCAGGUGACACCCCCUCGAUUUGUGGAGGAGUUAGAUAUAGAACAUUGUAUUGAUUUUUUUAAAAGAGAAAAAUUGUAAAAACAAAAGGGAAACGAAACUAUUUAACAAACCCCCCUAAAUCGUAAAAAUAUAAUCUCAACCUGAAUGGAACCUACUGUUAUUGUGGGAAAGAGGAAGAAAAACAAAAAAAAAAGAAUUCUCCGAGAAAUGGGAAUGAAAAUACGGAAGAAAAUAAGUCUCCAUAUAAAUAAUAAGAGUGAGAAAAAAGAAAAAAUUUUAGGAAAGAACAGGGAAAAGAAGGCAAAUGAAAAAUUAGAAGAAUAAAGAGCUAAAUGAAAAAACAAAGAAUUAAGAAAAUAUGACGAACAAAGAAUAUAAAGUGUGUUUAUAACAUAAAUCAAUGUUCCUCAAGAAGAAACAGAUCUGGAGUUUUCCACUUCUUCCUUUCAAGAAAACAUGAUUCCUUCAGGUAUGUUCUGGUUGAACACAGCAUGCCCCUUUUUAGAUACAAUUGAGAAUACAAUGCUUAAUAUGUCAGCUUCGUUUCCUUUUUAAUGCAUU
rnacentral:lncRNA from 1 species